UACGUAGGGGGCUAGCGUUGUCCGGAAUCAUUGGGCGUAAAGCGCGCGUAGGCGGCCAGAUAAGUCCGGUGUGAAAGUCAAAGGCUCAACCUUUGAAUGCCGCUGGAAACUGUCUGGCUUGAGUCCGGAAGGGGCGAGUGGAAUUCCUGGUGUAGCGGUGAAAUGCGCAGAUAUCAGGAGGAACACCUAUUGCGAAGGCAGCUCGCUGGGACGUAACUGACGCUGAGACGCGAAAGCGUGGGGGAGCAAGCAGG
rnacentral:rRNA from 1 species